rnacentral:rRNA from 1 species
AUUGAACGCUGGCGGAAUGCUUUACACAUGCAAGUCGAGCGGCAGCGCGGGGGGCAACCCUGGCGGCGAGCGGCGAACGGGUGAGUAAUACAUCGGAACGUGUCCUUAAGUGGGGGAUAGCUCGGCGAAAGCCGGAUUAAUACCGCAUAAGCUCUGAGGAGGAAAGCGGGGGCUCCGUAAGGACCUCGCGCUGUUGGAGCGGCCGAUGUCGGAUUAGCUAGUUGGUGGGGUAAAGGCCCACCAAGGCGACGAUCCGUAGCUGGUCUGAGAGGAUGAUCAGCCACACUGGAACUGAGACACGGUCCAGACUCCUACGGGAGGCAGCAGUGGGGAAUUUUGGACAAUGGGGGCAACCCUGAUCCAGCCAUUCCGCGUGAGUGAAGAAGGCCUUCGG